AGAGUUUGAUCCUGGCUCAGAUUGAACGCUGGCGGCAUGCUUUACACAUGCAAGUCGAACGGCAGCGGGGGCUUCGGCCUGCCGGCGAGUGGCGAACGGGCGAGUAAUGCAUCGGAACGUGCCCAGUCAUGGGGGAUAACUACGCGAAAGCGUAGCUAAUACCGCAUACGCCCUGAGGGGGAAAGCGGGGGAUCGCAAGACCUCGCGUGAUUGGAGCGGCCGAUAUCGGAUUAGCUAGUUGGUGGGGUAAAGGCCUACCAAGGCGACGAUCCGUAGCGGGUCUGAGAGGAUGAUCCGCCACACUGGGACUGAGACACGGCCCAGACUCCUACGGGAGGCAGCAGUGGGGAAUUUUGGACAAUGGGGGCAACCCUGAUCCUGCCAUGCCGCGUGAGUGAAGAAGGCCUUCGGGUU
rnacentral:rRNA from 1 species